rnacentral:lncRNA from 1 species
UAUGAAUUCAAAUGAAAUAUCUCAUAAGCAUCAUAACAGGUCAUACCAGUUCGUAAGUGGUCACAGCUGAACUUAAAUCAGUUAGUCAGCCAUGUAUACACAGCAACAGCAACACUCAUAUGUAGCUAGGUUGUAUAAUCAUCAUAAUAAAAACGAACGCUAACAACAUUCAACUUUGCCAAUAUGGCAGCACAAAAUUCAAUCACUUACAUAGUUUCAGCUUCUUAAAGAACGGUGAAACAACAGAUUUAGGGUACGGUUUAGAAGCAAGACAAGUAGGAUAGUUCUCAGGUUGUUCAAUCCACAGCUUAUGAGCAAUGUUAUUGCUUGUAAGCUUCUCGGACAAGUUCUUUAACUGCACUUCUCCUUUUACUUCUAGAAAUUACCUUAUGCAUUGAAUCCAGAUUAUCAGGGCUACAAUAGUCAAUAAUGUGAGGAUCCUCUUUGUGUGACCAGAUGGCAGCAACGGAGGCAUGGCAGCCUUGAGUAACAACGCUACCUAACGGCCACGUGUCAAUCAGAUCUCGUCGGAGCACCACGUACUGCACUAGCACGUCGGAGGUUGGUUCGGAGUUCACGGCGGCGGCCGGAGACUCUGCGGCGUCGGUAGUGGAGGCCAUGGGAGCGGAGCUGCUGCGGCAAAUGUGGAGAUGGAGUGGCCUCCAGUACGACGUCGUUGGGUGGGUUUUGAAAGAUGUAAAAUGUGUAAUGAAACGUGGUGAGUGUAGAGUGGCCAUCGAUUUGUAAUUGUAGGUUGUGGU